UCAUUAUGACUGUAAAAAAAAGUGGUUUCUUGAGAUGGAAUCUACUUCUGGUAAAAAUGCAGUGAA
rnacentral:pre_miRNA from 1 species